CUGCUCACCUUCACAGCACAUAUACUAAAAUUGGAACAAUACAGAGAUUAGCGUGGCCCCUGCACAAGGAUGACACACAAAUUUAUGAAGCAUUUCAUAUUAAA